AUGGCGAAUCCGGGAAGCCCCGACGCGACGCGUUCUUCGCAGCUAGGAGUAGCUUGCUUUGCUUGCUUGGUGUUUGGGGUAUAGAUAGCGAUGAGGAAGCGGAUGCGCGGCGUGCUGCUGGCGCUGGCGCUGCUGCUCACCGCCACGGCCGUCGUGCCGCUGCUGCUCCUCGGCGAGGCCGGGGACGACAGCGCCGGCGUCGCCGCGGCGCCUCCUUUCAACGCGUCCCGCGUGAGGGCGGUGUCGUGGAGGCCCCGGAUCUUCGUGUACAAGGGGUUCCUCUCCGACGACGAGUGCGACCACCUCGUCAAGCUGGGGAAGAAGAAGAUGCAGAGGUCGAUGGUGGCGGACAGCCAGUCCGGCAAGAGCGUGAUGAGCGAGGUGCGCACCAGCUCCGGCAUGUUCCUCGACAAGCGCCAGGAUCCAGUGGUGAGUAGGAUUGAGAAAAGAAUUGCAGCGUGGACCUUCCUUCCUGAAGAAAACGCUGAGAAUAUUCAGAUACUUCGGUACGAGCACGGUCAGAAGUAUGAACCGCAUUUUGAUUAUUUCCAAGACAAGGUUAAUCAAGCACUGGGAGGCCACCGUUACGCGACGGUGCUUAUGUAUUUGUCCACCGUUGAGAAUGGAGGAGAGACUGUGUUCCCCAAUGCUGAGGGGUGGGAGUCUCAGCCCAAGGACGACACUUUCUCUGAAUGUGCACAUAAAGGAUUGGCAGUGAAACCGAUUAAAGGCGAUGCAGUGCUCUUCUUUAGCCUUCAUGUCGACGGCGUACCGGACCCGCUCAGCCUCCAUGGGAGCUGCCCUGUGAUAGAAGGUGAAAAAUGGUCUGCACCAAAGUGGAUACGCAUCAGGUCCUAUGAGCAUCCUCCUGUCCCAAAGGAGACUGAAGGAUGCUCCGACAACAGCGCACGUUGCGUGAAAUGGGCUGAAGCUGGAGAAUGUGAGAAGAACCCGGUAUACAUGGUAGGCGCCGACGGCUUGCCUGGGAAUUGCCGGAAGAGCUGUGGCGUCUGUGAUUCUUAGAAUGUGCUGUGUUUUCUUUUUAAAUCCUGUGCUCACAUCUGUACAUACUUAGAGCAUUUUCAGACGAAAUACUGAAAUAGGUAGUAGCUUUUGAAUUUUCAGACAGUGAACAGUAGCAUAUCGUUUCUUCAGAAAACAGUGGUAACUAAUAUUACAUCCUUAGGUUAUGGUUUUCAAAUUUCAAGUUUACAGCAACUGGAGAUGAAGACUUUGGAGUAAGUUUUGGUAUUUACUGAUGCAGAAAUGGAAUCUGUCCUUCUGGCAGCAAUGCCACUGCCUGUUCCACUUUAAUUUUGUUGGCUUGCAUAACAGUGGAUUUCAGCACAGCAGUGUGUCAGGCUGUCUCAAAAAUAACAAACUCCUUUGGCCCUUUCCACAAUAUAGAAGUUCUAUGGCCUUUAUCUCCUGCAUCAUCCUGGCUUUUAGUCAAGGAAACUUUGUUUGCUGCUACCUCAAAACUUGCAUUUAAUCCACGUAGACAACAAGUUUAGACCCUAAUAAAAAUCAUCUAAUUUGCAUACAUUUUUAACAGUAGACUGAAAAUGUCCUUUCAAGGAUCCAUGAGUAAUACAUGUAGGGUUGAUGAGGACAGUGUGAUCCAUGUAGUCACAAUCUAAUAAUAAGGACAGUGACAUAUCACCUGAAAGUGGUAGAUGUGUAUGUUUCUUCAGGGUGCUUCACACUUUGAAUGAUCUGCUUUUGGACCUCGCUUUACCAGAGCAA